GGGUGGACUGCUGAGGAGGAGGAUGUGCCUUGCUGGCUCCAGCUGAGGAGCAGCCAGUUACCUGGACUGUGGAAGUAGAAGAUGCUGGGGCCCAGACAGGCACCCGCAGAUGCCCUAGAGAAACUACAAUAGCACCUGAGACCCUGAAGCUGCUGCACACUUGUGGAAGCCUGUCCCUGAUGAGGAUGAGAAAAAAGGACUAGAGAGGAUAUGUUCAGCAAGAUCCUGCAAGCCAGUGAUGCAUCAGACCAUGAACAGAGAGCCUCGAGAGUGAAUGUGGCAAACAGUAUGGAGAAAGGCCCAGGAAUCCCAGCAGGAAAAGGAGGGAGAUGUGCACCAGGACAUAAUGGGGUUUCUCAGCCAGUAAACUAAAUGCUUCAGAUUCUUGUUGACCUACAGGUCCAACUAUCAUGGGCUUGCCUCCCUUUUCAGUCAAUGGAGAACUCCAUUUUAGCACUUCCUUACGCCCUCAAUAUUCCAUUUGGCAUCAUGGCUGCAUCCCUACUCAUACCACUCCAUACCAGGGGAUAGUAAGGACAACCACAGCUUCAUAUUCACAGACCUGUGAGAGCUACGGUUGGUGUAUAUGUAGCCAAAAUGGACAGGAAUGUUUUCUACUGUUCUAAUUUUAAAGUUCUGUUCUGUUAAUUUACUUGAGAAGUUUGUGUUGUAUUUGCUUUUUAAUUGCACAUUAAUGUUUUGCACUGCUUUCAGUACACAUACAUUUCUAGUUUUGAAAAUAAAUUCAUCUGUAUCACAUCAUAACAUACAUUUCAAAGGGCCCAGCACUACUCAAAGUA